rnacentral:rRNA from 1 species
AGUUGUUGCAGUUAAAAAGCUCGUAGUUGAAUUUCGGGAUCAAAUUGUUGGUCGUGCUUCGGUACGCACUGGCAUUAUUGGUUCCUACCUUCUGAAGAACCGCGAUGUCAUUAAUUUGGUGUCGUGGGGAAUCAGGACUGUUACUUUGAAAAAAUUAGAGUGUUUAAAGCAGGCGUACGCUUGAAUACAUUAGCAUGGAAUAAUGAAAUAGGACGUUUGAUUCUAUUUUGUUGGUUUCUAGGAUCGACGUAAUGAUUAAUAGGGAUAGUUGGGGGCAUUAGUAUUCAAUUGUCAGAGGUGAAAUUCUUGGAUUUAUUGAAGACUAACUACUGCGAAAGCAUUUGCCAAGGAUGUUUUCAUUAAUCAAGAACGAAAGUUAGGGGAUCGAAGACGAUCAGAUACCGUCGUAGUCUUAACCAUAAACUAUGCCGACUAGGGAUCGGAUGAUGUUAAUUUUUUAAUGACUCAUUCGGCACCUUACGGGAAACA